rnacentral:rRNA from 1 species
GCGUGUGCGCGAGUCAUUGGGUGCAAACCUAAAGGCGCAAUGAAAGUGUCAGGUGGGGCUCCUUUAGGAGCUCCCGCCGGAGGGAGGAUGGGCCACCGUACUUGUGUUCGGAGCCCCGCACUCCCGGGGCGUCUCGUUCUCAUCACGAGUGGAGACGCACCAGGAGCGCACACGCUGGUACCCGAAAGAUGGUGAACUAUGCCUGGCCAGGACGAAGCCAGGGGAAACCCUGGUGGAGGUCCGAAGCGAUUCUGACGUGCAAAUCGAUCGUCUGAGCUGGGUAUAGGGGCGAAAGACCAAUCGAACCAUCUAGUAGCUGGUUUCCUUCCGAA